rnacentral:rRNA from 1 species
UACAGAGGGUGCAAGCGUUGCUCGGAAUUAUUGGGCGUAAAGGGCGCGUAGGCGGUGCGGUAAGUCCGCAGUGAAAUCUCUGGGCUCAACUCAGAGUCUGCUGUGGAAACUGCCGUGCUUGAGUGUGGGAGAGGUGAGUGGAAUUCCAGGUGUAGCGGUGAAAUGCGUAGAUAUCUGGAGGAACACCGGUGGCGAAGGCGGCGUUCUGGACUGCUACUGACACUGAGGAACGAAAGCCAGGGGAGCAAACGGG